UUUCUUAAAGGAAAAAGGAAAAACAUGGCAUAAUCCACAAAGGAUGUCAAGAAUGCUUUAAAUCUUCCAACAGCAGUCCAGUGUCCCUUUCAGCGCUGAGAAAAGACAGGAAAAUAAAAGAGUCUCUGAGCUUUGUUUCUAGAUUAUUUGCAUAAUGCACUUUGAUGGGUGAAUACUUGUCUCAAUCCGCGGCUCUUUUGUAUCUGCAGAUUACAAAAGGCCUAUUUCCAGCACCGUGCAGGCUACCAAAGAAGAGACUAUCAAAGGGAAGGAACGGGCUUUCAAGUCAGGACUCUUCGAUUGUGUUACAGAUUGGUUCCAGGUGGGACAGGCUUUGGCCCCUGAACAGGAAUAAACAGAAUCUGAGCCCAGAUCGUCAGCAGAGCACCUGCCACGUCAGCCCUUCAUCAACAUCACAACGCCCACUCCAUCAGCAGCUCCAGACGUGGCCAACAUGAAGCAGGACAUGUCGCUCCCCAGCAGCAAGA